GACGAACGCUGGCGGCGUGCUUAACACAUGCAAGUCGAACGGAAAGGCCCUGCUUUUGUGGGGUGCUCGAGUGGCGAACGGGUGAGUAACACGUGAGUAACCUGCCCUUGACUUUGGGAUAACUUCAGGAAACUGGGGCUAAUACCGGAUAGGAGCUCCUGCUGCAUGGUGGGGGUUGGAAAGUUUCGGCGGUUGGGGAUGGUGUCGCGGUUUAUCAGCUUGUUGGUGGGGUAGUGGCUUUCCAAGGUUUUGACGGGUAGCCGGCCUGAGAGGGUGACAGGCCACAUAGGGCCUGGGAUACGGCCCAGACGGCAACGGGAGGAAGGGGUGGGGACUAUAGGACAAAGGGCGGAAGCAUGAAGGAGCAACGCCGCGUGCGAGAAGACGGCCAUCGGGUUGUAAACCGCUUUCGACUGUGACGAAACGUGAGUGACGGAAAUGGGUAGAGAAGCACCGGUAAAUUACGU
rnacentral:rRNA from 1 species